rnacentral:rRNA from 1 species
CCCUUAGAUGUUCUGGGCCGCACGCGCGCUACACUGAUGCAUGCAACGAGUUCUAUCCUUGGCCGGAAGGCCUGGGUAAUCUGUGAACGUGCAUCGUGAUAGGGAUAGAUUAUUGCAAUUAUUAAUCUUGAACGAGGAAUUCCUAGUAAACGCAAGUCAUCAGCUUGCAUUGAUUACGUCCCUGCCCUUUGUACACACCGCCCGUCGCACCUACCGAUCGAAGGUAAUGAUGAGCCCUCAGGAUUGUGGCCUCGUCGCGUCAGCGUCUUGGCUGCGAGAAUUUGUGCAAAUCCCUACCUUUAGAGGAAGGUGAAGUCGUAACA